UAGCAAAUCUCAGAUGAAGUCAGGCAACUUCAUGGAGACUAAAACAUCUGUUGUGUAGUCAGGCUUGAUGACUUCUCUUGACGACUCUCAAUUGCAUGGCUGGUACGUCAAUGUGAAAUAGACCCAAACCUGGAUAUCAUCAAAGUGGAUUUGUUUGAGCUUUUCCUCUCAAAAGAAUUGAAAAGACUAAUACCUCAAAACGAUCUGCUGCAGCACUUCAUGAAAAUCAGAUUUCAGCUGUCCUUGAGAGGAAGACAGAAUUGGAAAUGUUCAGAGUAGCAAUUUAUAAUAAACUGCUUUAGAAACAAAUGUGACA
rnacentral:lncRNA from 1 species